GAUGAACGCUGGCGGCGUGCCUAAUACAUGCCAGUCGAGCGAACAGACGAGGAGCUUGCUCCUCUGACGUUAGCGGCGGACGGGUGAGUAACACGUGGAUAACCUACCUAUAAGACUGGGAUAACUUCGGGAAACCGGAGCUAAUACCGGAUAAUAUAUUGAACCGCAUGGUUCAAUAGUGAAAGACGGUUUUGCUGUCACUUAUAGAUGGAUCCGCGCCGCAUUAGCUAGUUGGUAAGGUAACGGCUUACCAAGGCAACGAUGCGUAACCGACCUGAGAGGGUGAUCGGCCACACUGGAACUGAGACACGGUCCAGACUCUUACGGGAGGCAGCAGUAGGGAAUCUUCCGCAAUGGGCGAAAGCCUGACGGAGCAACGCCGCGUGAGUGAUGAAGGUCUUCGGAUCGUAAAACUCUGUUAUUAGGGAAGAACAAAUGUGUAAGUAACUAUGCACGUCUUGACGGUACCUAAUCAGAAAGCCACGGCUAACUACGUG
rnacentral:rRNA from 1 species